GAGGGUGUAGCUCAGUGGCAGAGUGUGUGCUUAGCAUGCACAAGGUCCUGGGUUCAACCUCCAGUGCCUCCU
rnacentral:tRNA from 1 species